GUGCUCACUUCAGCAGCCCAUGUACUAAAAUUAGGAUGAUACUGAGAAGAUUAGUAUGGCCCCUGAGGGAGGAUGACGCACAAAUUCGUGAAGUGUCCACAUUUUUU